rnacentral:rRNA from 1 species
AUACGUAGGUGGCAAGCGUUGUCCGGAUUUACUGGGUGUAAAGGGCGUGUAGCCGGGAAGGCAAGUCAGAUGUGAAAUCUGGAGGCUCAACCUCCAAACUGCAUUUGAAACUGCUUUUCUUGAGUAUCGGAGAGGUAAUCGGAAUUCCUUGUGUAGCGGUGAAAUGCGUGGAUAUAAGGAAGAACACCAGUGGCGAAGUCGGAUGACUGGACGACAACUGACGGUGAGGCGCGAAAGCGUGGGGAGCAAACAGGAUUAGAUCCCCUGGUAGUCCACGCUGUAAACGAUCAAUACUAGGUGUGCGGGGACUGACCCCCUGCGUGCCGCAGUUAACACAAUAAGUAUUGCACCUGGGGAGUACGAUCGCAAGGUUGAAACUCAAAUGAAUUGACGGGG